rnacentral:rRNA from 1 species
GUAGGGAAUCUUCCACAAUGGACGCAAGUCUGAUGGAGCAACGCCGCGUGAGUGAAGAAGGGUUUCGGCUCGUAAAGCUCUGUUGUUGGUGAAGAAGGACAGGGGUAGUAACUGACCUUUGUUUGACGGUAAUCAAUUAGAAAGUCACGGCUAACUACGUGCCAGCAGCCGCGGUAAUACGUAGGUGGCAAGCGUUGUCCGGAUUUAUUGGGCGUAAAGCGAGUGCAGGCGGCUCGAUAAGUCUGAUGUGAAAGCCUUCGGCUCAACCGGAGAAUUGCAUCAGAAACUGUCGAGCUUGAGUACAGAAGAGGAGAGUGGAACUCCAUGUGUAGCGGUGAAAUGCGUAGAUAUAUGGAAGAACACCGGUGGCGAAGGCGGCUCUCUGGUCUGUUACUGACGCUGAGGCUCGAAAGCAUGGGUAGCGAACAGGAUUAGAAACCCGAGUAGUCC